rnacentral:rRNA from 1 species
AGAUACCCUGGUAGUCCACGCCGUAAACGAUGUCUACUUGGAGGUUGUGCCCUUGAGGCGUGGCUUCCGGAGCUAACGCGUUAAGUAGACCGCCUGGGGAGUACGGCCGCAAGGUUAAAACUCAAAUGAAUUGACGGGGGCCCGCACAAGCGGUGGAGCAUGUGGUUUAAUUCGAUGCAACGCGAAGAACCUUACCUGGUCUUGACAUCCACAGAAGAAUCCAGAGAUGGAUUGGUGCCUUCGGGAACUGUGAGACAGGUGCUGCAUGGCUGUCGUCAGCUCGUGUUGUGAAAUGUUGGGUUAAGUCCCGCAACGAGCGCAACCCUUAUCCUUUGUUGCCAGCGAUUAGGUCGGGAACUCAAAGGAGACUGCCAGUGAUAAACUGGAGGAAGGUGGGGAUGACGUCAAGUCAUCAUGGCCCUUACGACCAGGGCUACACACGUGCUACAAUGGCGCAUACAAAGAGAAGCGACCUCGCGAGAGCAAGCGGACCUCAUAAAGUGCGUCGUAGUCCGGAUUGGAGUCUGCAACUCGACUCCAUGAAGUCGGAAUCGCUAGUAAUCGUGGAUCAGAAUGCCACGGUGAAUACGUUCCCGGGCCUUGUACACACCGCCCGUCACACCAUGGGAGUGGGUUGCAAAAGAAGUAGGUAGCUUAACCUUCGGGAGGGCGCUUACCACUUUGUGAUUCAUGACUGGGGUGAAGUCGUAACAAGGUAACCGUAGGGGAACCUGCGGUUGGA